GCUGCUUUAUGGGCUUACUUGAGAGAUAUAAAAUUAAAAUGUUUGUCAAGAUGCUACUGGAGCAAGUAUUAAAUGUGGCUCUUAAUCAUCUUAACAGUCUUUAAGGUUCCCGUGCAGUUCUGAUAGUCUCACUAAGGAUGAAAGAUGAAUUUUCCAACAAACAAGGGUCCAUAUAUAAAACCUUUCUGGAAUGGUCUUUUAAUUUUUUUCUUCUAGGUUCUCAUGCUGCUUUGCAAAGAGAAUAUAUAACAGGAUUUGUACAGGGCUGCAAAUGCUGAAGAUGACAGUUAAGGAAAAUGAAAACUCCAUAAAAGUUUUUAGCUAUGAAGACUAAGACCCAUAUGAACAUCUGAAUACAAAUCUUUCAACAGCCCUAUGUUAUAAUUUGCCUUGAAUAAAUAGAAGUGGAAAUGCUGGAUCAAAUGGUAACUGUGCAUGCAUGCUUAGUCAUGUCCAACUCUUUGCGACCCUAUGGACUGUAGCCCACCAGGCUCCUCUGUCCAUGGGAUUCUCCAGGGAAGAAUACUGGAGUGGGUUGCAUGCCCUCCUCCAGGGGAUCUUUCCAACAUAGGGAUCAAACCCACGUCUCUUGUGGCUCAUGCAUUGGUCGACGGAUUCUUUACCGCUGAGCAGCCGGGGAUACACAGAAGUGGGAAUGGUAGAUCGAAUGGUAAAGGGAAGUGUGAAUUCUUAGAGACUGCCAAGAUGUUGUUUAAAGUGACUGUAUAACUUUGUAUUCACACCAGCAAUGUAUGAGAGAUCUAUUUCAUAUCUUUGCCGAGACUAAGGUUGGUGGUCUUUUUAUAUAUACCACAUCUUUCUUUUUCCAUUCAUUUGCCAAUGGGCAUUUGGCUUAUUUACAUGCCUUGGCUAUUGUAAGUAGUGCUACUAAGAACAUUGAGAUGCAUGUAUCUUUUUGAAUUUUCAUCUUUUCUCAAUGAUUACAGGAUCAUACAGUAACUCUAUUUUUAUUUUUUAAGGCGCCCCAUACUGUUUUCCAUGGCAGCCAUACCAAUUUACAUUCCCACCAAUAGUUUAGGAGGUUUCCAUUUCCUCCACACCUUCUCCAGCAUUUAUUAUUUGUAGACUUUUUGAGAUGACCAUUCUGACUGGCACAAAGUGAUAUGUCAUUAUAGCUUUGAUUUGCAUUCCUCUAAUACAGUAAGCCCCCCACAUAGAAACCGUGGAAUUGUGACCUUUCAAAGAGACAAACAUCCAUUCACAAGCCCAAUCACAUGAGUUAGUUCACAUGUCUGGCAUACACUGCCAGAGGCAUGCACCCUGUACGAGUGAUUGUGCUCCUGUGAACUUUAUAGUACUGUAUGCAGUAGUACAGAAUCUUUAUUUCAAGCCCAGAUGUCUGGAAGCAAGCAUCAAAGCAGUGGUGAUGUAGCUGGUACGACUGUACUUUUCAAGGCACUUUGCUGUAGGAUUAAAAGUGUCUUAGUUUUUGUUUAUGUAUUAUUUGUGUGGAAAGUAUUAUAAACCUACUACAUUACAGUUCCUAUACAGCUGACUGUGUGUGUUGGCUUCCUAACUUCAUUGGACUUAAAAACAUGCUCUCAGAAUGGAACUUGUUCAUAUGUAGGGGCUUACUGUAAUUAG
ensembl:lncRNA